rnacentral:tRNA from 1 species
GGGGCUAUAGCUCAGCUGGGAGAGUGCUUGCAUGGCAUGCAAGAGGUCGGCGGUUCGAUCCCGCCUAGCUCCA